GGCUUGUUGGUCUAGUGGCAUGAUUCUCGCUUUGGGUGCGAGAGGCCCGGGUUCGAUUCCCGGACAAGCCC
rnacentral:tRNA from 1 species